CGCAAUCAGACGUGGACGAACAAGGACCGACCAGCGAAUUUGAACUAAAUGUCAAGUACCUUGGAACCCCGGAACUCCCCUCGCUCGCGUUGGUAUUAGGUGGCAUGGCGUUUCAACAAUUCCUUUUCUUAUAUUCUGGAAACACUUCCGGAACUGAAGAAAACCGCUGCCCGCCGUCGGCUGUGGACAACCGGAAGUGCAGAGUCUGCGACUGCGCAAUGCGACCAGAGGCGUCGUCAUCGAGUCAUGCAUGCACACCGACGCCUAAGAAUUGUCAAAGCAAGUGGUGGAUGAACACAAGUGCCGACACGCAUGAGACCAACAAAGGGAAUGGUGUACUUCCGAUCAGCGGCGACACGUACCGAAAGUGCAACGAUAUGUGCAUGUUGUCGUGCAACGAUGGCUACACACUAACCGAUGAGACUGGCUGUCAGACGUGCGCAUGCGUGGAUUCAGAGCCGUGUAAAAUUAUCACUGGAUCUGUGGUAGUGUUGGUGAUGAUGAUGGUGGGGUGAUGUUUUUAUUUGAGCGGGUAGUGUUUGUGGAAGCGAUGAAGCUGACGAAGAAUAGUAGAAGGAUGAGAAUAGUAAUGAUUUUUAUAAUGGUGCCGAUUUAUUAUGAUGUAGGCGGUGGUGCUACUGCUUCUGAGGCUGCUUCUAAUGAUGAUGAUAAGGUUGUUUAUAACCAUGUUGCUCAUGAUGUUGAUGAUGAUUAUGAAGAUAUCCAUGAUGAUGAAGAUGAUGAUGUGUCGGUUGAUGAUAGUAGCGACGCGGAUGCUAUUGUAUUUGAUGAUUAUGAUCAUGAUGUUCUGGUUCUGAUAAUGAUGAUGAUGAUGGUUAUUAUUAUUAUGAUGAUGAUGAUGAUGAUGAUGAUGAUGAUGAUGAUGAUGAUGAUGAUGAUGAUGAUGAUGAUGAUGAUAUUGAU